UACAGAGGUCUCAAGCGUUUGUUCGGAUUCAUUGGGCGUAAAGGGUGCGUAGGUGGCGCCAUAAGUCAGGUGUGAAAUCUCGGGGCUCAACCCCGAAACUGCACUUGAUACUGUGGUGCUCGAGUACUGGAGAGGAGAUUGGAAUUUACGGUGUAGCAGUGAAAUGCGUAGAUAUCGUAAGGAAGACCAGUGGCGAAGGCGAGUCUCUGGACAGCAACUGACGCUGAGGCACGAAGGCCAGGGGAGCAAACGGG
rnacentral:rRNA from 1 species